GCCGCGGUGGGACAAUCUGGUACUCCGUCCGCCUCGAAAGCGGAUUGCCGAAAGGCUUUCUCGGUUCAAAACAGUUCCAUCAUAGACGCCCAGGCGAUCUGUGCGCCGAAAGGCGAGAGUUUCUGCGCUUUCGCCAAAUGGGAGAUGAAGGUGCUUGUGAAAGUCCGAGCCGCGGCG
rnacentral:tRNA from 1 species